rnacentral:snRNA from 1 species
CAGUGUUGCAGCUCGUUAGAAUUCGUCUAGCAGGUUCUCUGGCUUUUACUGGAAAGCCCCC